GUGGGGCAUAUUGCACAAUGGGGGAAACCCUGAUGCAGCCAUGCCGCGUGUGUGAAGAAGGCCUUCGGGUUGUAAAGCUCUGUCUUCAGGGACGAUAAUGACGGUACCUGAGGAGGAAGCCACGGCUAACUACGUGCCAGCAGCCGCGGUAAUACGUAGGUGGCAAGCGUUGUCCGGAUUUACUGGGCGUAAAGGGAGCGUAGGCGGACUUUUAAGUGAGAUGUGAAAUACCCGGGCUCAACCUGGGUGCUGCAUUUCAAACUGGAAGUCUAGAGUGCAGGAGAGGAGAGUGGAAUUCCUAGUGUAGCGGUGAAAUGCGUAGAGAUUAGGAAGAACACCAGUGGCGAAGGCGACUUUCUGGACUGUAACUGACACUGAGGCUCGAAAGCGUGGGGAGCAAACAGGAUUAGAUACCCCGGUAGUCC
rnacentral:rRNA from 1 species